UCUCCUGGCCGUGACCUUAAAGGGGAAGAGGCCUCCUCGCGCCGCCCCUUCUUAACAUUAAAAAAAAAAAUCAGUGGUGUGGGAGGAGGAAAAACCGCACAAGACUUUUCAGUGAAGAAAAAGACAAUCCUGCCAUUUCAAAAUUCAUGGAAACAAUUGGCUAAGGCCCAGUAAGCAAGCUGUGCCCUGAGCUUGGCAUAACAACAAUCCUUGGUGCUUACCCUCUGGAAAAACUCAG